GGGAUUGCCUUAGUACGGCGAGUGAGCGGCAAAGCUCAAAUUUGAAAUCUGGCACCUUCGGUGUCCGAGUUGUAAUUUGAAGAAGGUAACUUUGGAGUUGGCUCUUGUCUAUGUUCCUUGGAACAGGACGUCACAGAGGGUGAGAAUCCCGUGCGAUGAGAUGCCCAAUUCUAUGUAAAGUGCUUUCGAAGAGUCGAGUUGUUUGGGAAUGCAGCUCUAAGUGGGUGGUAAAUUCCAUCUAAAGCUAAAUAUUGGCGAGAGACCGAUAGCGAACAAGUACAGUGAUGGAAAGAUGAAAAGAACUUUGAAAAGAGAGUGAAAAAGUACGUGAAAUUGUUGAAAGGGAAGGGCUUGAGAUCAGACUUGGUAUUUUGCGAUCCUUUCCUUCUUGGUUGGGUUCCUCGCAGCUUACUGGGCCAGCAUCGGUUUGGAUGGUAGGAUAAUGACUAAGGAAUGUGGCUCUACUUCGGUGGAGUGUUAUAGCCUUGGUUGAUACUGCCUGUCUAGACCGAGGACUGCGUCUUUUGACUAGGAUGUUGGCAUAAUGAUCUUAAGCCACCCGUCUUGAAACACGGACCAA
rnacentral:rRNA from 1 species